rnacentral:rRNA from 1 species
UACCAGCACCCCGAGUGGUCGGGACGAUUAUUGGGCCUAAAGCCUCCGUAGCCGGUCCUACAAGUCUUCCGUUAAAUCCACCUGCUUAACAGAUGGGCUGCGGAAGAUACUAUAGGACUAGGAGGCGGGAGAGGCAAGCGGUACUCAGUGGGUAGGGGUAAAAUCCUCUGAUCCAUUGAAGACCACCAGUGGCGAAGGCGGCUUGCCAGAACGCGCUCGACGGUGAGGGAUGAAAGCUGGGGGAGCAAACCGG